rnacentral:rRNA from 1 species
GGUGUUCUUCCCGAUAUCUACACAUUCCACCGUUACACCGGGAAUCCCAGUCUCCCCUACCGCACUCCAGCCCGCCCGUACCCGGCGCAGACCCACCGUUAAGCGAUGGGCUUUCACACCGGACGCGACGAACCGCCUACGAGCCCUUUACGCCCAAUAAUUCCGGAUAACGCUUGCACCCUACGUAUUACCGCGGCUGCUGGCACGUAGUUAGCCGGUGCUUAUUCGAAAGGUACACUCACCCCGAAGGGCUUGCUCCCGAUCAAAAGCGGUUUACAACCCGAAGGCCUCCAUCCCGCACGCGGCGUCGCUGCAUCAGGCUUGCGCCCAUUGUGCAAUAUUCCCCACUGCUGCCUCCCGUAGGAGUCUGGGCCGUAUCUCAGUCCCAAUGUGGCCGGUCGCCCUCUCAGGCCGGCUACCCGUCGAAGCCAUGGUGGGCCGUUACCCCGCCAUCAAGCUGAUAGGACGCGACCCCAUCCCAUACCGAUAGAAUCUUUCCCGGAAGGACAUGCAUCCAACCGGAGCAUCCGGCAUUACCACCCGUUUCCAGGAG